UUUGGUGCUUCUUUUGUA
rnacentral:siRNA from 1 species